rnacentral:rRNA from 1 species
AAGUCGAGCGGUAACGAGCCUAGCUUGCUAGGAGGCGUCGAGCGGCGGACGGGUGAGUAAUGCAUAGGAAUCUACCCAGUCGUGGGGGAUAACCUGAGGAAACUCAGGCUAAUACCGCAUACGUCCUACGGGAGAAAGCGGGGGCUCUUCGGACCUCGCGCGAUUGGAUGAGCCUAUGUCGGAUUAGCUGGUUGGUGAGGUAACGGCUCACCAAGGCGACGAUCCGUAGCUGGUCUGAGAGGAUGAUCAGCCACACCGGGACUGAGACACGGCCCGGACUCCUACGGGAGGCAGCAGUGGGGAAUAUUGGACAAUGGGCGCAAGCCUGAUCCAGCCAUGCCGCGUGUGUGAAGAAGGCUUUCGGGUUGUAAAGCACUUUCAGCGAGGAAGAAAGCGUGCCGGCCAAUACCCGGUACGGACGACAUCACUCGCAGAAGAAGCACCGGCUAACUCCGUGCCAGCAGCCGCGGUAAUACGGAGGGUGCAAGCGUUAAUCGGAAUUACUGGGCGUAAAGCGCGCGUAGGCGGCGUGUCACGCCGGGUGUGAAAGCCCCGGGCUCAACCUGGGAACGGCAUCCGGAACGGGCAGGCUAGAGUGCAGGAGAGGAAGGUAGAAUUCCCGGUGUAGCGGUGAAAUGCGUAGAGAUCGGGAGGAAUACCAGUGGCGAAGGCGGCCUUCUGGACUGACACUGACGCUGAGGUGCGAAAGCGUGGGUAGCAACAGGAUUAGAUACCCUGGUAGUCCACGCCGUAAACGAUGUCGACUAGCCGUUGGGUCCCUUGAGGACUUAGUGGCGCAG